rnacentral:misc_RNA from 1 species
CACCUGAUCAUCCUCACCACCAUUCUUCAAAAUCUCUUGAAAAACCGAAAAAUGCGCAACAACAAACCUCAAUAUCUCCAACUUCUAAAUAAUCAAAAAAAAUAUCAAAAUUUUCUGUUCUUUUCUUCGCUCUCUCACUCUCUCUCUCCCCCCCUUUCACACAAGUUAAAUAAAAAUGAAAGCGAAAACCAAGAUCAAUGGUUGUUUCUUGGGAUUUC